rnacentral:rRNA from 1 species
UGGCCUUGACAUUGAUAGAAUCCGUUAGAGAUAAUGGAGUGUCUGCUUGCAGAAACUUGAAAAC